rnacentral:rRNA from 1 species
UACGUAGGGGGCAAGCGUUGUCCGGAUUCAUUGGGCGAAAGAGCGUGUAGGCGGCCAGGUAGGUCGGUUGUGAAAACUGGAGGCUCAACCUUCAGACGUCGACCGAAACCAUCUGGCUAGAGUCCGGGAGAGGAGAGUGGAAUUCCUGGUGUGAGCGGUGAAUGCGCAGAUAUCAGGAAGAACACCCGUGGCGAAAGCGGCUCUCUGGAACGGUACUGACGCUGAGACGCGAAAGCGUGGGAGCAAACAGG